AGAGUUUGAUCAUGGCUCAGAUUGAACGCUGGCGGCAGGCUUAACACAUGCAAGUCGAGCGGAGAUGAGGUGCUUGCACCUUAUCUUAGCGGCGGACGGGUGAGUAAUGCUUAGGAAUCUGCCUAUUAGUGGGGGACAACAUUCCGAAAGGAAUGCUAAUACCGCAUACGUCCUACGGGAGAAAGCAGGGGAUCUUCGGACCUUGCGCUAAUAGAUGAGCCUAAGUCGGAUUAGCUAGUUGGUGGGGUAAAGGCCUACCAAGGCGACGAUCUGUAGCGGGUCUGAGAGGAUGAUCCGCCACACUGGGACUGAGACACGGCCCAGACUCCUACGGGAGGCAGCAGUGGGGAAUAUUGGACAAUGGGGGGAACCCUGAUCCAGCCAUGCCGCGUGUGUGAAGAAGGCCUUAUGGUUGUAAAGCACUUUAAGCGAGGAGGAGGCUACUGAGACUAAUACCCUUGGAUAGUGGACGUUACUCGCAGAAUAAGCACCGGCCAACUCUGUGCCAGCAGCCGCGGUAAUACAGAGGGUGCGAGCGUUAAUCGGAUUUACUGGGCGUAAAGCGUGCGUAGGCGGCUUUUUAAGUCGGAUGUGAAAUCCCCGAGCUUAACUUGGGAAUUGCAUUCGAUACUGGGAAGCUAGAGUAUGGGAGAGGAUGGUAGAAUUCCAGGUGUAGCGGUGAAAUGCGUAGAGAUCUGGAGGAACACCGAUGGCGAAGGCAGCCAUCUGGCCUAAUACUGACGCUGAGGUACGAAAGCAUGGGGAGCAAACAGGAUUAGAUACCCUGGUAGUCCAUGCCGUAAACGAUGUCUACUAGCCGUUGGGGCCUUUGAGGCUUUAGUGGCGCAGCUAACGCGAUAAGUAGACCGCC
rnacentral:rRNA from 1 species